AAAAAUAAAAUAUGCUCCACCAUCUCCUCCUCCAACUCGCAGUAUGGGUAGGUUGCCUAGAUCUCCAUACCUUGGCCGCCCCUCAGAAUGGAUCUGCAACCUCCAAAUCCACUCUGCAUCCAUCUAUCUAGUUGGUCCCCUUCGAUAUAAUCGAUAGAGAUUAGCCGUCACCACUCUCGGAGAAUGGGAAUGCCUCCUAAAAAGAUAAGCCACCACCGCUAAUCCCAUCUACCACCAUCAGCAUCGAAGA
rnacentral:lncRNA from 1 species